GCACCAAUAGUGCAGCGGUGUCAUUGUACCCUCCCAAGGUACAGACCCGGGUUCGACUCCCGGUUGGUGCA
rnacentral:tRNA from 1 species